rnacentral:lncRNA from 1 species
UCCAUGCCCUUUUAGGAGCUCCCGCACCCUCUCUUCCUCUCUCCCUCUCUUCUCCCUUGGGCGUCCCACACACCCCACCUUUGGGCAUCCCACAUCCACACACCCAUAAGGGCUUUGGCAUCCCCCUUUGAGUGUUGGUUCCUAGUGUUUGGUAACAGCAUAUACAAAGAAAAAAGGCAAGAGAAGAAGAGAAGAAGAAGAUCAAGGAAAG